rnacentral:ncRNA from 1 species
UUUUGUGAACAGGGGUGCUGUAAAAGGCUGAGAUAAUACCCUUAAUCACCUGAUCUAAGACUAGACUAUUAUUAAUAGUCAGAGCUAGCGUAGGGAGUUCAAACUUUUUAAGU